UUUGUAUCAUUUUAAAAGAUGUGUUUAGAGGUAAAUAAAGUAGCUCACAUCUCUAUAUCUGGCUAGACGGUUUGGGAUUUUAGAUUACCUCUUCUCCAGCUACUGGAGUCUGGGGAUAUAGACAUUUGCUUUGCCAACGAGAACGAAGCAAAAGAGUUGAUAGGGUGAUUGUCAUUACUUUGAAUCUUAUUAAUUUCUGAACUUGACUGAUUGUAAAUCUAAUAUUUGCGCUGGGGUUGGCGUUUGGGGUUGUAGGCGCUUUGGAUUUUCGUGAUUGUUACGAUUGGUUUUAUGUAGUGUUUAUAUUCGUGUCAUGUAUAUAGUUUAAAGUCUAGUUGGAUAAUUGUGUGAUUAUCAUGUACCAAAGAUAGCCAAUUAAGACUUAGUGUUUAUGUUUUCAUAAAUGAAUUAGAUCUCAUUAUUUGCUUGGUCUUUCAAGACUGUGCAAUAUAAUCUCGAUUGCUACUGUUAGAUUUUGCUUACAUUAUGAUGCUAUUAGAUUAGAUUUUGUAUUUAAGUCUCUAGAUUUAGGUUUUGUAGCUUACUUUUAGGAUUUUUAGUAAUUGAAGAGGUAAACAACGUAGUGUUCAAUUCUCGAAAUCUGAGUUCAAUUCUAUAUCUUCGUGUUUUAUGUGUUGCAAUAAUUUAGUCUAUGUAUUAGGAUUAAUCAGAAUUAAAGAUAAUGGUAAAAUUUAGGCUAGAUUAAUAAUUAGUUUUCACCUAAAAGUUUAAGUUCAGGGAUAAGUGGUCUGGUGGGUUAGUUUAAUGCCAAUAUUAAUGAAAUAGGUUCUCAUCAUUUUGAAGGUAGUUACAAUUACCAUUUUUUUAGAAAGAUUGAUCUCUUUAAUAAAGUAGCUUUUAAUCGUAGUCAUAUUAGAGGUAUUAUGCAUUAUCAAAACCUUCUUGAUGAUCUUAUCUUGUAUUCUGGACUCUCUGAUCUAGAAAACUACUUUAGUGGUUGUAUUUUCAUUUAAGCUUUCAACCUCUUGUCAUACCAUUUAAGCAAAUCAGAUAAAUCCAUGAGGAUUGUUAUCCGAAUGAAAUUCUCUCUCUUUCUCCUCUUAGGUUAGGAUUGUGAAAGAUGGUACAUGUGCGAAAAAAAUCUAAUACAGAUUUUAUCUUAUAAUUUAGAGAAUGUUUAAUUAGUUAUUGUGGUAGUUUUUCUAAAUUGCAUUGUUUUGAAAGAUUUGUUGUAGAUCAAUCACUUACAUGGUUAGUCAUGAACCUUUUGUCUUGAAGAGGUAAACAAUAACAUUUUGUAUUUAAGUCUCUAGAUUUAGGUUACGUAGCUUUAAGCUUUUAGGAUUUUUAGUAAUUAAAGUUGUUCUUGAGUUUUGAUGAGGACUAAAAUUUCUCGUUUCCUUGUAGAUAAUCAUUUUUUGAAGAUGAGGAUGAGGUUACCGAAUAAAAAAUUAAAGCUUUGUUGGAUGAAAAGGAGUAGCUUGCGGGAGCAACAUUUUGAGAAAGGAGAAUGUACAGGAAAGAGUUUCGGCGUACUUUCGACAUGUACGAGGUUGAUGUAAUGUGAAUAUAGUUCGUUGGGCAUUCUCUUAUUGUAGUCAUAGACUUACAGUAUAGUAUUUGUAUAAAAUAUCAUAAUGUACAAAUUUGAUCAGACUUUAAUCUUAUUACCUGCAACUUUGUUACAUUUUAUAAUUUACAGAUAUAGAGAAUUUUUUUGAAA